rnacentral:rRNA from 1 species
AUUGAACGCUGGCGGCAUGCUUUACGCAUGCAAGUCGAACGGUAACAGGCCGCAAGGUGCUGACGAGUGGCGAACGGGUGCGUAAUGCAUCGGAACGUGCCCAGUCGUGGGGGAUAACUACUCGAAAGAGUAGCUAAUACCGCAUACGAUCUAUGGAUGAAAGCGGGGGACCGUAAGGCCUCGCGCGAUUGGAGCGGCCGAUGUCAGAUUAGGUAGUUGGUGGGGUAAAGGCUCACCAAGCCAACGAUCUGUAGCUGGUCUGAGAGGACGACCAGCCACACUGGGAGUGAGACACGGCCCAGACUCCUACGGGAGGCAGCAGUGGGGAAUUUUGGACAAUGGGCGCAAGCCUGAUCCAGCAAUGCCGCGUGCAGGAAGAAGGCCUUCGGGUUGUAAACUGCUUUUGUACGGAACGAAACGGCUCUGGUUAAUACCCGGGGCUAAUGACGGUACCGGAAGAAUAAGCACCGGCUAACUACGUG